CCCUUAGAUGUCCUGGGCCGCACGCGUGCUACACUGACACUUACACCGAGUUUUUCCAAUGCCGAAAGGCCAUUGGUAAUCAGCAAUAAGUGUCGUGAUGGGGAUAGAUCUUUGGAAUUAUUGAUCUUGAACGAGGAAUGCCUAGUAAUCGUAGGUCAUCAGCCUGCGAUGAUUACGUCCCUGCCCUUUGUACACACCGCCCGUCGCUCCUACCGAUUUCGGGUGGUUCGGUGAACCUUUCGGACCGGCAAUGCCUCGUGUUGCGCCGGAAAGUCAAGUAAACCAUAUCACUUAGAGGAAGGAGAANUCGUANCA
rnacentral:rRNA from 1 species